rnacentral:rRNA from 1 species
GAUGAACGCUGGCGGCGUGCCUAAUACAUGCAAGUCGAGCGAACGGACGCGAAUCUUGCUUCUCUGAUGUUAGCGGAGGACGGGUGAGUAACACGUGGAUAACCUCCCUAUAAUACUGGGAUAACUACGGGAAACCGGAGCUAAUACCGGAUAAUAUUUUGAACCGCGUGGUUCAAAAGUGAAAUACGGUCUUGCUGGCACUUAUAGAUGGAUCCGCGCUGCAUUAGCUAGUUGGUAAGGUAACGGCUUACCAAGGCAACUAUGCCUAGCCGACCUGAGAGGCGGGUCGGCGACCCGGGAACUGGAACGCGGUCCAGAGUCCUAAGGGAGGCCGCAGUCGGGAAUGUGCCGCAGCGGGCGAAAACCUGACGGAGCAACGCCGCGUGAGUGAUGAAGAUCUCGCGUUCGGAAAACCCGGUUUUGAGUGAAGAACAGAUGUGGACUGAGCCGAGCACAGCUUGACGGUACCUAAUCAGAAAGCCACGGCUAACUACGUG